AGGUAUAUCGUGGAUCAGUCUUCCUUAGUACUGCAUGGCCAUAGCCUGGGACAACCUGCAAAGAGUGAAGGGAAAAAAGCCAGUUGUAUUUUCAGAACUUGGGUCUUGCCUUCUUCCCUAGUUGCUACGCAUCUCUGCUUACCCGUCCUGAGUUUAGUGUGUUCCAGAUGUAGUCUCGUAAUUUCUCAUCUGACACAUCUUUGCCAACUUCCUUCUGUAGCUGUGUCAGCCAAACAAGCACUUCCUACGGGUAAGGUUUGGGGAAUAAAAGAGUGUCAAUGCAUAUGCCAGGAUUCUCGAGAACACCAAGUUCAGAAACAAAGCAUGGGAGUAAGAAAAACAUGGAGCAGGAAAAGAAAAAGAA